GGAGGUCACUGUGUUUGGUGGCCUGUCCGAUCCCAGCUGGUGGUGUGAUCCUGGACCAGGUCACGAUCUCUAAGCUCCAAUAAAUUCCGCAGUAAGCCGUGAGACGUCUCCUGACUCGACAGUGGGCUGAGAGUAGGUGGGAUGGAGGAGGGGAAGGACCCUCAGGAUGACAUCCCCGAAGGAGUCAGGUGGGCUUAGGGACUAGCGCCACCUCCCAUUGUGAUGCACUAGGAAGAUCUGCAGGGGAUUGGCCGGUUGGCCGUUGGGCGGGGAUAAAAGCCCACGUCGCCAGGGCCUGUGCUUGACAGAGUCUUGGCGCCCAGAGAAGGCCUUCCAGCUCCUGCUCCUUCUGCUGGUUCCUUCCAGGAGCGCUUUAAAGCUGACUCUGCUGAAGUGACCACUCUGACCCACAGCUCCUCUUCUGAGCUCAGGCACGGACUUCUCAUCCAUAUGUACCUUCUCUACCCUUGGGAAAGCCAAAGAAAAAGAGAAACACCAAGCUGAACCCCACUGGGUUCGGACGGAAACACCAAAAUUCCAGUGCUGGUGGAGUAGCAACGACAGGAAGUGCAUCACGAGAAUGAACAACAUCGUGAGCUCAGUGAUCCCAGUAUUAUGGGAAACCUCAGAAAGCUUCGGGAACUCUGGCUGACAAAGAAAAUAGAAGUGAGGGCGUGAAGUGCUAUCGGCAUGUUUGCAGAACACCAGAGUGAAAAAGACAGCCUCAGAAGGGGCAGGUGCCAGGUAUUUCUCAUAGUCGGUCUUUUACAGUGUUGAAAACGAUACAGACUUCUUCCCAAGCCGAAGGAAAAUGGAGGGUCAGGUGGGCAGGGGCUGGAUGAACCUUGAGGAGCCUGAAUCAUGAGGGGUGCUCACUUCAUGUGUCACAAGCCAGAGAGGAAAAUGUAGGUGGAAUCCUGGACCAAAAAAAUCAGAGCCCUAAUGAGCACCGUUGUCAGAGGUCCUGAGUCUGCAAAAGGAGGAGAAAAAGAAAAGUAUGCUGCCCACUCGGCCUCACUUAGUGCAUUUUCUUCUCCUUCAAACUGGAUGAAUGAACAUGCUUCUUCCCCCAUUGUCUUGGCAUCCCAACAGAUCAGCUACCCUAAAACUUCACAUCCCUUUGAAUGGGGGACCUCCACAAAACGUGAAAAGAGGAAGGGCCUCCUAAAGUUUUUUCCCAGCAUUUAAUUAUGAAAACUUUGAAACAUUAUGGAUGAGUGAAAGAACUUUACAGAUGACACGUGUAUUCCUGCAGCAUUAAUUCCAUCAUUAACAUUUAAAUGUUCUGGCUUUGUCACAUAUCUAUCCAUCCCAUCCAUCAACCCAUCUUAUUUUAUCUGUUUCAAACAAAAUUGCAGACAUCAGUAUACUUUCCUUAAAUAAUUCAGAAGGCAUGGUAACUAGAGUUCCACAUUUUGUACAGUAUACAUUUUAGUUAAAAUUUGCUUGCACUGAAAUGCACAUCUUAAGUGAUGAGUUUUAACAAAUGCAUACACCUAUGUAACACGAACCCCUGUGAGGUUAUAGAACGUUAACCUCAGCCCCACAAGAUUCUCUCAUGCCCUUUCCCAGUCAAUCCCCACGCCUAUCCCACAAAAACAACCACUGUUCUGGUUUUUUCCAGUGUGGCUAAGUUUUGUCUUAUGAAUGUCGUAUUAAUUGAGUUUAAUCGGCAAUGGCCAAUGAUUUAAUCAGUCAUGCCUAUGCAAUGAAGCUCCCAUAAAAACCCGAAAGGACAGGGUUUGGAGAGCUUCUGGGUUGGUGACCACGUGGAGGUGCUGGGAAAGUCGUGCUCAGAGAGGGCGUGGAAACUGCACACCCUUCCUCUUGCAUUGCCCUAUGCAUCUCUUCCAUCUGGCUAUUCCUAAGUUACAUCCUUUUAUAAUAAAGCAAUAAUCUAGUAAGUAAAAUGUUUUUCUGAGUUCUGAGCUGCUUUAGCAAAUUAAUCAAACUGAAGGUGGGGGUCAUCAGAACCUCCUCUCUAUAGCCAGUUGGUCAGAAGCCCAGGUGACAACCUGGACUUGCAAUUGGUGUCUGAAGUUGGGGGAGGGCAGUCUUGCAGGACUGAGCCCUUAACCGGUGGGAUCUGACGCUGUCUCUAGGUAGAUAGUGUCAGAACUGAGUUGAAUUGUAGGACACUCAGCUGGUGUCAGAGAAUUGCUUGGUGCUGUGGAGGGGAAAAACCCCACAUAUUGGAACUGGUGUCAGAAUUGGAAUCAUGUGCUGGGAAGCUAGGACCAGAGGGGGAACUUGCCCUCGGCCACACAAGUCCCAGCAUAUCCAGGAAAGCAGUGAUUUGUGCCCCUGCUAUGUCCUACUCUUGAUCACAGCUCAGAGGGAGCCAGGGCUGUCGGACUUUUAUUUUUUGGCAAUUAUAAAAGCUAAUAUUGUUGUAAGAAACAUUUGUAAUGCCACCUUUUGUUAUCUACAAGAUUUAAGAGACUAAUACAUUUUUAAAAAUUAUUAGCCUAAAAGUUAGUAUUAUUGUGAUUUUGGUGUGUAAUUCUUUAUUAUUAUUAUUUUUUACUUUCUUACUCCACCUUCUCAGGUCCCCCGCGUCCAUCUGACAGCACAGAGAUUAGCACUCAACCUCUGAAGGGUGGGGGUGGAGAAAGGGACUGAUUUUCCUCCUUCACCCUUAGCUUGGGCUCAGGCUAUGAGCAGGUCUGGGAAGGAAACCAGACGAAAUCUCUAACUCCCAGGAUGAUCAUGGUUCAGCCUUUCACCUUUCCCAUGUGUAAAUGAAGGAUUCACUUCAUUGUCCAGGACUCCUCAGUAGAUCUGAGCUGGAAUGGCUAAAGUGUGGAUGGCGUGUCCCCUCCUCUUUCCUCUCUCUCCAUUGCCAGCGUAGAUUCUUGGAGCCCCCACAGUCAUCCUCUGUGCAUGCUCCAGACAGGAUCCUGCACACUCCUUGCCCCCCCGAGUCCAGCUCCAGAGAGCCCAUGAUGGUCAUCUUGGGCAGGCUGCCUGGGCAGGAAGGUCACUUGCAUCAUGGCCUCCUGGGGUUACUCCUCUGACCUCCUGCUCCAUCUCACCAGCUUUUGGACAGAAAUGGCUCCUGGGACAUACUCAGCGCUGGGUUCCUGUCCCAGGGUUACCCGUUGGGCUUCAGAGAGAAAGAAGCUUUUUGUGUGUGUCUGUUAUGUAUAAAUGACUCUGCGUGUGUAUUCUCAGGCAAUAGCUUUCAUUUAUUAAGUGUCCACAAUGUUCUAGGUUUUCUGAUAAGCCUCUUCAUGGAGCAUGACUGUCAUAAUGACAAUGUCAGUGCGUACUUCUGCUUAGACCCAGGGGCGCCCUUUCCAUCUGGCUGCCUCUGCCAUGUUCCUCACCUGCGUGGAGAAGGUGAAGGAAGUUCCCACAUUAGGGAGACCCAGAGCACCAACUUCAGGCAGGCCAUAUUGCUGGGAGACCAAGAAAAAAAAAUCUCUCUUGGGUUAACUGUGCCCACAGGAGCAGGAGCAGAGAGCUAAGAGGACUUCACUUCCAGUUCGGGGACAACUCAAUACUUUGGAGAGAGAAUCUGCAGAAACCAUUUGCCACUUUCUAGAAAACAAUUGAGGCUGCUUUUGGGGCUGGGUUGGAGAACGUGACAACGACACAUUUCUUCUCCCCAAAGAAGCAUUUCUUAGUGUCUCAAUUCUUGAAAACAAAAGGCAACAUCCCAGAGUGGGUCAGUCUCUGAACUGCUUCUCUAACGCUGAGGCAUCCAGCUGUGAAUGAUGCCCUGAGCGGGAGGGACCAGUAAGGGUGGGCACCAGAAUGCAAGGCAGAGCUGUUUAACCAAGGACCAUGGGUGGCCUCGGGACACAGUGAACACCCUGAAGUGGUUACAGAUCAUGAGGCUGGCAAUGCAUGGAGAGAGGGCUCACUGCUUUUAUCUGAUUUCCCCAAAUCAUCAAGACUCAAUGACAGAGGUUCCUUGCCCCAAGCUAAAUCAUGACCCCCAGGAAUUCUGACCCAGAUGGGACCUUGCACACUACUCAUUCCAAAAUUUCCAUCUUACGGAUGAAGAACCUGUGACCAAAUGAAGAAACGGUUGUCCAAGACCCCACUGCAAUUAAAGAUUUGGGAAGAGACACAAAAGCAUUGAUAUAAGUUGGGUGCCUGUCACCUAUUAUAAAUUCAGCAGCACAUAAUCUUUCUUAUUCGUUCACAAAAAGGGGGCAUGUUAUUUGUUGGUUUCCUUGCUUUGCUCCCCUUAAGGGAAAGCCAGCAGCUGCAGACCCUCCUUGUCUGAGGGUCUGGCUGAUGUGACC
rnacentral:lncRNA from 1 species